AUGGAAAUAUCUAUAAUUGUUAGAUAGUAUAGGGGCGGAUGUAGCCAAGUGGAUCAAGGCAGUGGAUUUGUGAAUCCACCAUGCG
rnacentral:tRNA from 1 species